AAACGAUGAGUGCUAAGUGUUAAAGGGUUUCCCGCCCUUAGUGCUGCAGCUAACGCAUUAAGCACUCCGCCUGGGGAGUACGGUCGCAAGACUGAAACUCAAAGGAAUUGACGGAUGGCCCGCACAAGCGGUGGAGCAUGUGGUUUAAUUCGAAGCAACGCGAAGAACCUUACCAGGUCUUGACAUCCUCUGACAACCCUAGAGAUAGGGCUUUCCCUUCGGGGACAGAGUGACAGGUGGUGCAUGGUUGUCGUCAGCUCGUGUCGUGAGAUGUUGGUUAAGUCCCGCAACGAGCGCAACCCUUGAUCUUAGUUGCCAGCAUUCAGUUGGGCACUCUAAGGUGACUGCCGGUGACAAACCGGAGGAAGGUGGGGAUGACGUCAAAUCAUCAUGGCCCUUAUGACCUGGGCUACACACGUGCUACAAUGGACAGUACAAAGGGCUGCGAGACCGCAAGGUUUAGCCAAUCCCACAAAUCUGUUCUCAGUUCGGAUCGCAGUCUGCAACUCGACUGCGUGAAGCUGGAAUCGCUAGUAAUCGCGGAUCAGCAUGCCGCGGUGAAAUCGUUCCCGGGCCUUGUACACU
rnacentral:rRNA from 1 species